CCUACGGGAGGCUGCAGUCGAGAAUCUUUCACAAUGGGGGAAACCCUGCUGGUGCGACGCCGCGUGGAGGAAUGAAGGUCUUCGGAUUGUAAACCCCUGUCAUGUGGGAGCAAAUUAACUAGAUAGUACCACUAGAGGAAGAGCAGGCGAACUCUGGGCCCGCAGCCGCGGUAAUCCAGAGGGCUCAAGCGUUGUUCGGAAUCACGGGGCGUAAAGCGUGCGUAGACUGUUUCUUAAGUCGGGUGUGAAUGCUCCUGGCUCAACCGGCGGACUGCACAUGAUACUGCUUGACUAGAGUAAUGGAGGGGGAACCGGAAUUCGCGGUGUAGCAGUGAAAUGCGUAGAUAGCGGGAGGAACACUAGUGGCGAGGGCGAGUUCCUGGACAUUAACUGACGCUGAGGCACGAAGGCCAGGGGAGCGAAAGGGAUUAGAUACCCGUGUAGUC
rnacentral:rRNA from 1 species